GUCACGGGUCGAGACUCAAGCUCCGAACCCGCGCGGCUCCGGGACCCGGGCAUUCACCCUUCCGGCGUCCCAGAUCAGCCUUUCGCCACGGUUCACACCCUUGUGAGGUAUUGUCCGCUCUGGCCCCCCUGACCUCACGGUUUUGUCCUACAAAAGGCGCCUCACAAGGCGGAGAUGGUGUGAACCCUUUUAUACCCCAG
rnacentral:lncRNA from 1 species